rnacentral:rRNA from 1 species
UGGGGAAUAUUGGACAAUGGGCGGAAGCCUGAUCCAGCCAUGCCGCGUGUGUGAAGUAGGCCUUUUGGUUGUAAAGCACUUUAAGCGAGGAGGAGGCUACUUGGAUUAAUACUCGAGGAUAGUGGACGUUACUCGCAGAAUAAGCACCGGCUAACUCUGUGCCAGCAGCCGCGGUAAUACAGAGGGUGCGAGCGUUAAUCGGAUUUACUGGGCGUAAAGCGUGCGUAGGCGGCUUCUUAAGUCGGAUGUGAAAUCCCUGAGCUUAACUUAGGAAUUGCAUUCGAUACUGGGAAGCUAGAGUAUGAGAGAGGAUGGUAGAAUUCCAGGUGUAGCGGUGAAAUGCGUAGAGCUCUGGAGGAAUACCGAUGGCGAAGGCAGCCAUCUGGCCUAAUACUGACGCUGAGGUACGAAAGCAUGGGGAGCAAACAGG